CGGGGUGUGGCGCAGCUGGUAGCGCACUUGACUGGGGGUCAAGGGGCCGCAAGUUCAAGUCUUGUCACUCCGACCA
rnacentral:tRNA from 1 species